AGGCCCGUGAUGUCAAUGGUAGCAUAGCGGUCUCCAAAACCGCUCGUGGAGGUUCGAAUCCUCCCGGGCCUG
rnacentral:tRNA from 1 species